GUUUGACCACAGAUGCUUCAGGAGCAAAUUUGGAAAAGCUUUUAGAGACUCAGGAGCUCUACCAGAGGCAGAAACUGUUUCCUGGUUUUUGCCUGGUUUGCUGUUCAGGUUAACAGUCCCAGCUCUCCCAGCCUGUGUCCAUAGGGCAGGUGCUCCAGUCCUCUUAUCAACCUUGUGGCCUCCUCUGGACUUGCUCCAGCAGUUCCAUGUCCUUCUAAUCCUGGCAUCCACCAUGAAAGAGCAAACCCAUGAUUAUUGAGUGGGGAAUCCCCAGAGCUGCCCUGUGGUCAGCACUCCAAAUGCCAACUGCUUCCUGCCUGUUCCUGUGAGAAAUGAAAAUAUUUCCUCAUCUAGUCUCCAAAUAAAUCCAUCAAAUUCACUGGAUUCCCUGGAAAUCAAGAACUUCAGAUUUUUGCAAUAUAUGAUUCUUCAGGCAGGAAAUUAUUUUUCAAUGAAUUUUUACAUAACUUGAGAGGAAAGACGUGCAUGGGAAAACCUGUGACAUAGGAGGCUCUGAGGAAAUAUUAAAGGAGAGAAAUACAUUUCUGAGGAUGGAAGGAGGAAGAGAAGAGCGUUAAGAUCCAGCUGCUAAUGGACUGUGUGGCAUCUACCACUUCCAGGAGUUCUUAAUGGCCUUUGUGACUCAGAAAAGGAAGACUUAAACUGAGGUUUAAUAAAUC